AGUACACAAAUUUGUGCGGAUGCAAUGCUAAGAAUGACAUUUUGGAAUCUGUAGCUAAAAGUCUUUCCAGUGACACUUAGGAUGGAGACCGUUGCAGUCCAGCCUUUCCUUACAGACUUCUUCAAGAGGCAUUAAUACGAGACAUGUGUCCAGUGCAGCUGUAAAAAAAGCACUGCCUGAGAAGCAGCCACAGCCCAAGCCCUGCAUGAAACAUUGCAGCCCGCUGUGCCCUGGAGAACUUAACAGUCUGACACGCAUUGCAGGCACAGGAUGUCAGAAAGGCUCUGGCACGCAUGAAGAGUAAGUUAUGUGAUGCUGGUGAGUGAUGUUUAAAGCUGUGAUUCCAGGGCUGAGGAGGAGUCUUGGAUGAUAGGGAAGAAAAGGUAGAACCAGAAGGGGUUGAGGAGGGGAAUUUGACAAGAGUGGCAGAGAAGGCAAAAAGGGACAGAUUACAGAAUCACAGCAUCACACAAUGGUUUGGGUUGGAAGGGAGCUUAAAGACCAUCUAGUUCCAACCCCCUGCUAUGGGCAGGGACAUCCUCCAGUAGACCAAGUUGCUUAAAGCCCUGUCCAACCUGAUGAAGUCAAAGGAGAAGGAAGGGAUCCUUCGGGAUAAUUUAUAUGAGGCAAGGAGCAGCAGCCUCUCAGUCUUGCAGCCAUCACUCAGGUACUGUGCUUAUGUUGCAUACAGUACAUAGCAUAUUACUUUUGUCUCCCAAAUGGCAGAACAUGGUUUAGUUAUGUCUACAUUCAACAUUCUGUGAGCAUAUACUGAUGGCUAGCAUGCACUCAGAGGAGGUGCUCAUUUGUCACCAGACACAGAACAAGGGACAGAUGUUCAAGGAGGACAAGGAUCCUGCCUGUUCUUCCAAGGCAAUGCUAUAUCAGACCUGAAGCAAAACCUGAGUUCCAAACACUUCUAUAUGUUAGGUGAGAUGAACCCUAUGUCCAACUGGAAUAGCAAAACAUUCCCUUGGAUAUGAAAAACUGCAAAACAAGAGGGCUGUCUGGAGUAAAAUCUGAUCUGUUUUCUGGCCCUGUCCUGAGGGUGGAAAAGCAACUCAGCCAGCUCUGCCUGAAUAUUUGACAAACACUACUCAACAGACUAUGAAGUAUUUCCAGCGUCUUCAAAAUACUCAACCACAGCAGCACUUUGUAUGCUCCUCACCUUCGUUUUUACAUUUUCCCUUCAGGUUCUGAGUUUCAUGUUAUUAAAUUUUAGUGUAAAACAUUGUAAUAAAUAAUAAGUAGUAACA